rnacentral:ncRNA from 1 species
CGGCCGGGACGACCCGGCCAGGCAAGGAGCAUCAGCCGGGACGGCCCGG